GAUGAACGCUGGCGGCGUGCCUAAUACAUGCAAGUCGAGCGAACAGAUGAGGAGCUUGCUCCUCUGACGUUAGCGGCGGACGGGUGAGUAACACGUGGAUAACCUACCUAUAAGACUGGGAUAACUUCGGGAAACCGGAGCUAAUACCGGAUAAUAUAUUGAACCGCAUGGUUCAAUAGUGAAAGACGGUUUUGCUGUCACUUAUAGAUGGAUCCGCGCCGCAUUAGCUGGUUGGUAAGGUAACGGCUUACCAAGGCAACGAUGCGUAGCCGACCUGAGAGGGUGAUCGGCCACACUGGACCUGAGACACGGUCCAGACUCCUACGGGAGGCAGCAGUAGGGAAUCUUCCGCAAUGGGCGAAAGCCUGACGGAGCAACGCCGCGUGAGUGAUGAAGGUCUUCGGAUCGUAAAACUCUGUUAUUAGGGAAGAACAAAUGUGUAAGUAACUAUGCACGUCUUGACGGUACCUAAUCAGAAAGCCACGGCUAACUACGUG
rnacentral:rRNA from 1 species